UGGAGGUGUGGUGGGACCGGGGUUGGGCUGGACAUCUUUUUCUAUGGCUAGAGGCAGGACACGCGUGGAUUGUUGGCCCCGGAGGAAAGCCAGCAUCCCAUCGUCCGGGGUAUCGACAGCGUUUUCCUUUUUGCUUGCUCGGCAUAUCUGUUAAUAUCUGUUGGUGGCGUGGUUGCUCAGGGUGCUAGCGAUGGAUUGCUGCCUCUUCCCGCUCUCCUUAUUCUGCAGAGGCCUAGCAUAGAAGAUAACUCUUGGUGCUCCAAGAUCCAUCAAGGUUCGGUUAAGAAAAAGGAUCCAUCAAGGUUGAUUCCCUCUAUUCUCAGUAGCAUCUUCAGGUGGAGGAAGACAAAUGUGAGGUCAGCAAUUUACUGAGGAAGAACAGACAAAGUUGGUGAAAGACAGGCGGAUAAGAAAUGGCUAUACUAUUGAGUGACAAGAUAGUUACUGUGGUAACAUAGAAGGAAGAAAUUGUCUUUAAGAAGAAUAAGAUCAACGAGCUUCAGGUGCUAGCUUUUCUGUAUGCCAGCAAAAUUAAUUAAUUUUACAUGCUCAUUUUCUUAAUUGUAUUAAUUUCUCAGAACAUUUAUUUGGUGAUCACGAAAUUUCUGUAUAAUGUCGGAUAAUAAGUUUGUUCAAAAAGUUCUGUAUGUCGCAUGCUUUGCUUGUAGACAUAAUUUGAUCCAUGGAGCGUUACCAAUUUUGUUGGGCA